rnacentral:rRNA from 1 species
GACGAACGCUGGCGGCGUGCCUAAUACAUGCAAGUAGGACGCAGUUGCGCACGGGUGAGUAACGCGUAGGUAACUGCCUAUUAGAGGGGGGUAACUAUUGGAAACGAUAGCUAAUACCGCAUACUAGUAGAUGGACCUGCGUUGUAUUAGCUAGUAGGUAGGGUAAUGGCCUACCUAGGGGACGAUACAUAGCCGGCCUGGGAGGGUGAUCGGGCAAAAUGGGACUGGGAAAAGGCCCAGACUCCUACGGGAGGCAGCAGUAGGGAAUCUUCGGCAAUGGGGGGAAAGCUGAACAAGCAACGCCGGGGGAGUGAAGAAGGGUUUCGGAUCGUAAAGCUCUGUUGUUAAGGAAGCGGUACUUAACCAGAAAGGGACGGCUAACUACGUGCCAGCAGCCGCGGUAAUAC